AGGGCACCACCAGGAGUGGAGCCUGCGGCUUAAUUUGACUCAGCACGGGAAAACUCACCCGGCCCGGACACCGUAAGGAUUGACAGAUUGAGAGCUCUUUCUUGAUUCGGUGGGUGGUGGUGCAUGGCCGUUCUUAGUUGGUGGAGCGAUUUGUCUGGUUAAUUCCGAUAACGAACGAGACUCUAGCCUGCUAAAUAGGCAGUGGAUUAUUCGUCCACUGUACUUCUUAGAGGGACAAGCAGCGUCUAGCUGCACGAGAUUGAGCAAUAACAGGUCUGUGAUGCCCUUAGAUGUUCGGGGCUGCACGCGCGCUACACUGAAGGAAUCAACAUGCUUCUCAACCUUGGCCGGAAGGUCUAGGUAACCCGUUGAAACUCCUUCGUGAUUGGGAUAGGGAAUUGCAAUUAUUUCCCUUGAACGAGGAAUUCCCAGUAAGUGCGGGUCAUCAGCUCGCGCUGAUUACGUCCCUGCCCUUUGUACGCACCGCCCGUCGCUACUACCGAUUGGAGGUAGGGCAGA
rnacentral:rRNA from 1 species